rnacentral:rRNA from 1 species
UAAGGAAUAUUGGUCAAUGGACGCAAGUCUGAACCAGCCAUGCCGCGUGAAGGAUGAAGGUCCUCUGGAUUGUAAACUUCUUUUAUCUGGGACGAAAACGGGAUUUUUAUCUCAAUUGACGGUACCAGAGGAAUAAGCACCGGCUAACUCCGUGCCAGCAGCCGCGGUAAUACGGAGGGUGCGAGCGUUAUCCGGAUUUACUGGGUUUAAAGGGUGCGUAGGUGGGCUUAUAAGUCAGUGGUGAAAUCUCCAAGCUUAACUUGGAAACUGCCGUUGNUACUAUAGGUCUUGAAUUAUCUGGAGGUAAGCGGAAUAUGUCAUGUAGCGGUGAAAUGCUUAGAUAUGACAUAGAACACCAAUUGCGAAGGCAGCUUACUACAUAUAAAUUGACGCUGAGGCACGAAAGCGUGGGGAUCAAACA